AGUGAACGCUGGCGGUAGGCCUAACACAUGCAAGUCGAACGGCAGCACAGUAAGAGCUUGCUCUUACGGGUGGCGAGUGGCGGACGGGUGAGGAAUACAUCGGAAUCUACUUUUUCGUGGGGGAUAACGUAGGGAAACUUACGCUAAUACCGCAUACGACCUACGGGUGAAAGCAGGGGAUCUUCGGACCCUGCGCGAUUGAAUGAGCCGAUGUCGGAUUAGCUAGUUGGCGGGGUAAAGGCCCACCAAGGCGACGAUCCGUAGCUGGUCUGAGAGGAUGAUCAGCCACACUGGAACUGAGACACGGUCCAGACUCCUACGGGAGGCAGCAGUGGGGAAUAUUGGACAAUGGGCGCAAGCCUGAUCCAGCCAUACCGCGUGGGUGAAGAAGGCCUUCGGGUUGUAAAGCCCUUUUGUUGGGAAAGAAAAGCAGCAGGUUAAUACCCCGCUGUUCUGACGGUACCCAAAGAAUAAGCACCGGCCAACUUCGUG
rnacentral:rRNA from 1 species